rnacentral:rRNA from 1 species
UUGAUCCUGGCUCAGGACGAACGCUGGCGGCGUGCCUAAUACAUGCAAGUCGAGCGAGCCGAACUAAUUGAUUACCUUCGGGUAUGAAGUUAGGGAAGCGAGCGGCGGAUGGGUGAGUAACACGUGGGUAACCUACCCUAUAGUCUGGGAUACCACUUGGAAACAGGUGCUAAUACCGGAUAAAAGGAGAGAUCACAUGAUUUCUUUUUGAAAGGCGGCGUAAGCUGUCGCUAAAGGAUGGACCCGCGGUGCAUUAGCUAGUUGGUAAGGUAACGGCUUACCAAGGCAACGAUGCAUAGCCGAGUUGAGAGACUGAUCGGCCACAUUGGGACUGAGACACGGCCAAAUCUCUCUCUUACGGGGAGAGGCACGCCAGGUAGGGAUUCUUCCACAAAUGGACGGCAAGUCUGAUGGAGCACGCCGCGUGGAGGUGGAGGAAGGUUUUCGGAUCGUAAAGCUUCUGUUUGUUGGUGAAGAAGAGAAUAGUGAGAGUAACUGCUCAUUAUUUGCCGGUAAUCAACCAGAAAGUCACGGCUAACUACGUGCCAGCAGCCGCGGUAAUACGUAGGUGGCAAGCGUUGUCCCGGAUUUAUUGGGCGUAAAGCGAGCGCAGGCGGAAAGAUAAGUCAGAUGUGAAAGCCCUCGGCUUAACCGAGGAAUAGCAUCGGAAACUGUCUUUCUUGAGUGCAGAAGAGGAGAGUGGAACUCCAUGUGUAGCGGUGGAAUGCGUAGAUAUAUGGAAGAACACCAGUGGCGAAGGCGGCUCUCUGGUCUGUAACUGACGCUGAGGCUCGAAAGCAUGGGUAGCGAACAGGAUUAGAUACCCUGGUAGUCCAUGCUGUAAACGAUGAGUGCUAAGUGUUGGGAGGUUUCCGCCUCUCAGUGCUGCAGCUAACGCAUUAAGCACUCCGCCUGGGGAGUACGACCGCAAGGUCAAAACUCAAAGGAAUUGACGGGGGCCCGCACAAGCGGUGGAGCAUGUGGUUUAAUUCGAAGCAACGCGAAGAACCUUACCAGGUCUUGACAUCUAGUGCCAACCUAAGAGAUUAGGCGUUCCCUUCGGGGACACUAAGAACAGGUGGGUGCAUGGCUGUCGUCAGCCUCGUGUCUGAGAAUGUUGUAAGUCCCGCACGAAGCGCAACCCUUAUUAUUAGUUGCCAGCCAUUAAGUUGGGCACCUCUUAUAUGGAGAACUGCGCGGGUGAAACCGGAGGAAGGUGGGGAUGACGUCAAGUCAUCAUGCCCCUUAUGACCUGGGCUACACACGUGCUACAAUGGGCAGUACAACGGGGAGCGAACUUGUGAAGGCAAGCGAAUCUCUGAAAGCUGUUCUCAGUUCGGACUGUAGGCUGCAACUCGCCUACACGAAGCUGGAAUCGCUAGUAAUCGCGGAUC